rnacentral:tRNA from 1 species
AGCUCUAAGGUGUUUGACAUGUGGGAUUGCAAAUCCCGAGUCGCAGAUUAAUCCCUGCUAGAGCUU